rnacentral:rRNA from 1 species
CGCUGGCGGCGGGCUUAACACAUGCAAGUCGUACGAGGUAGCAAUACCUAGUGGCGCACGGGUGCGUAACGCGUAGGCAACCUGCCCUGAAGUGGGGAAUAACUCUCCGAAAGGAGAGCUAAUACCGCAUAUUGAGCUGAGGUGGCAUCACCUUGGCUUGAAAGCUAUAUGCGCUUCAGGAUGGGCCUGCGUUGGAUUAGGUAGUUGGUAGGGUAACGGCCUACCAAGCCGACGAUCCAUAGCUGGUCUGAGAGGAUGAUCAGCCACACUGGCACUGAGACACGGGCCAGACUCCUACGGGAGGCAGCAGUGAGGAAUCUUGCGCAAUGGAGGAAACUCUGACGCAGCCACGCCGCGUGAAGGAUGACACCCCUACGGGGCGUAAACUUCUUUUCUGCGGGAAGAACGCCGGCCUUGGGCCGGGUUGACGGUACCGCAGGAAUAAGCACCGGCUAACUCCGUGCCAGCAGCCGCGGUAAUACGGAGGGUGCAAGCGUUGUCCGGAAUCAUUGGGUGUAAAGGGUGUGUAGGCGGGCCCGCAAGUCAGGGGUGAAAGCCGGCGGCUUAACCGUCGGAUUGCCUUUGAUACUGCGGGUCUUGAAUCCUGGAGGGGCCACUAGAAUUCGUGGUGUAGCGGUGAAAUGCGUAGAUAUCACGAGGAAUACCAGAGGCGUAGGCGGGUGGCUGGACAGGAAUUGACGCUGAGGCACGAAAGCGUGGGGAGCGAACAGGAUUAGAUACCCUGGUAGUCCACGCCGUAAACGAUGAGUGCUAAGUGUUAGAGGGUUUCCGCCCUUUAGUGCUGCAGCAAACGCAUUAAGCACUCCGCCUGGGGAGUACGGCCGCAAGGCUAAAACUCAAAGGAAUUGACGGGGGCCCGCACAAGCGGCGGAGCAUGUUGCUUAAUUCGACGCAACGCGAAGAACCUUACCAAGGUUUGACAUCACCCGUGGACUCGCAGAGAUGUGAGGUCAUUUAGUUGGCGGGUGACAGGUGGUGCAUGGCUGUCGUCAGCUCGUGUCGUGAGAUGUUGGGUUAAGUCCCGCAACGAGCGCAACCCUUGUUCCAUGUUGCCAGCACGUAAUGGUGGGGACUCAUGGGAGACUGCCGGGGUCAACUCGGAGGAAGGUGGGGAUGACGUCAAGUCAUCAUGCCCCUUAUGUCUUGGGCUGCAAACAUGCUACAAUGGCCGGUACAAUGGGCGUGCGAUACCGUAAGGUGGAGCGAAUCCCUAAAAGCCGGUCUCAGUUCGGAUUGGGGUCUGCAACUCGACCCCAUGAAGGUGGAGUCGCUAGUAAUCGCGGAUCAGCAACGCCGCGGUGAAUACGUUCCCGGGCCUUGUACACACCGCCCGUCACGUCAUGAAAGUCGGCAACACCCGAAACUUGCGGCCUAACCCCUUGUGGGAGGGAGUGAGUGAAGGUGGGGCUGGCGAUUGGGACGAAGUCGUAACAA